UUUUUAGUAUGAGUAUGUUCCAUGAAAUAUUUGGGACAUAUUUAUACUAAAA
rfam:Camelus ferus unplaced genomic scaffold scaffold714, whole genome shotgun sequence.